AAAUGUCUUGCCCAAGCGUGGAAAUGAUGAAGGAAGUCGAACCGUCAGCCCUAGCCGCAUGACUGUUGGGCGCGGAUAACGGAGGAAGUGAGCCACUCUCAUUGAUGGCUAGUUUGCAGCAUUUAAUGGGAAAACAGUGGGAUUGGAAAACCCAAAAGCCAACGGGUAAAGAGAAACGCAACACAGAUAUCAAAUUCCAAAAGAAAACUUUAAAGACUCAAAUCAUGGCAAACUUGGGAAAAUCAAAAUGCGAUGAAAUUAAAAACUCAGUCUUCCUCCCUCAAGAGAAAUCCGAACGAGAUCUUCACCAAGGUGCAAGAACUUUCCGCCUCCUCUCAAAAUUCUAUGGCUAUGAAUGGACACCAUAAAGUUAAACAGAAAUCGAAAGCCAACACUAACCGAUUGCGACGGGGUCGACGAUGAUGUGAAGAGCGAUUUUGGAUUCCCCUUCAGAACGUUAGCUAUUCCGACAACUCAACUUCGACUUGUAUGAAUCCUCUGGAGGUGUUCCAAUGAAUCCUUCGUGCUUUCUCUGAGGAAAGAGUAGUGGAGCUUGUUCGUGCGGAGGAUGCUUGGAGAUUUUUGUCCUCAUCCCAGCUUGUGGUCCCUCUUCUCAACUCCUCGUUUUACCCUUUUACUGCUUGUUGAUAUCAUGACCAUGAACCUGAGGGCAGGAGAUCUCAUACCAAAGUUCUCCAUUUUUGUGAGGAGCUUCCGCUUUCCACGGCGCAUAAAUUCUAGUUAUCCGGUCAUGGCUGGAUGAUAUAAUAUAAUCACCGGAUCUACCACACGUUAUAUCAGUCCCCGAUGCAAAAUGAACAUAGGGAACCUUUUGUAAAAACCAGUUGUCAUCACCAACAUUCAAGUGAAAAAGUGAGAAAAUCGCGCCGUGUUGAGUUCUAGCUGAGGUCUGCAAGCGCAAUGUCUCCUUGGCAGCAAGAGCAUUGUAUCCGCUUCUCCGGAUGCUUGAUAAAUACCGAAUGUAUCUUGAAUUGACAGUAAACCAGGGACAUAACUUCCAUAACAAGAUUCCCCGUUACGUUUCAAACCUUGCAGUAACAGCUGGCAGUGGGCAUCCAUUAAAUCAACCCUUAUUUCUAUCUGGCCAACAACACGGAGUAUGCUCUUCUGAGUUCGACGAUCUUUUUCAACUUCAACUUCAGUUGUUAUGUGAAGCAAAGACUGUUUCCCAAAGCCCAAACACAUCAGAGAGAAGUGGACGGUUCGCCACCGGAUUGAGGUAUGCAACAUGGCUCGAUGACGGGUCGAUUUGUGGAUAGCCACGACAUAGAACAAAAAUGAAUUUUGAGUCAUGGCAUUGAUUGGUGAGCUGUUAUACGCGCGACGGUUCGCGUUACCAUACAGACACAAUAAUGCCUCAUUGCAAUAUUGAUUCCUUCUGCAACAAAUACGCUUCUGCAAUUUUACACCUUCGUCUAAAAGUGUCUGGAUCAUUGAAAUUUCCAAAAAAUAACCCUUCAUCAAAAUGGAUCUUAGCAUGUUCCAAAUGUCUAAUGGAUUCCUCUUGUGAAGAAGAAUUCAGAAGCAACUGAAUCUAACAGAGCCUGGAAGCAACAUGGUCCUUUCUAAUUACCUGAAAGUCGUAUAAAUAAUUGAAAUGCUUGUGGGUUUCACAAUAUAGGCAUAUAUGAGCAAGGGCGAUAACAGUAUAUUGGUUGACUGCUGUUGUUAGGGUUGGAUUCUUCAUCAUUGGUGGAGAGAAAGAUAAUAAAAUAUGGUACUCUAAAAUGGAAGGUAAAGCUUACGAGGAAGACGUGUGCGUAUGCGUGAGAACAGGAACAUGGGAAAAGGAAUAGCAGCAGCAACAACAACCAUGCUUUGCUUGAGAUAAGAAUCCUAUGAUUUUCAUUCUGUGUGUCUGCGUGUUUGAAUGAGUCUCAUCUUUUUCUUGAUUAUUCUGCUGUAAAAUGAUCAAUAGUAUUUGGGACUCUUUUGAUGAUUUGCUCUACUAUAGACCUUGCAGUAUUUUUCACUUUAAAUUCAUUAUGUAUUUGUCUAAUAAUAACAUGCUCCAAAGUAGACAUUAAAAGUGUUUUCAAAACAUUUUUUAUGAACUUUAUUAAACAACCAAGAUAUCAACUGCACAAUCAAUACUCCAACAACUCCAAUACUUGAUGAGACCAGUAGUGCUUUGCUUGUUGUUCCUUUAUGUUUCUGUUGUUGACACGGUGAAAUAUUCCCCGCGAGAGCUUCACCGCUGCAGAAAUUGUAACCAUGUGGAUCUUGUUUCUUCUCAUUUGAUUUCUGAUUCUGUGAUUGUAGAACAGUUGGCAAUAACCGAAGCAUUCAGGUCGUUAACAUCAUAACUCUGCACAUCAAGAUUCUCAUGACAUGAUGACUCUAGAGUCCUAACCGAUGUUUCUGUAUUUGAGACACUCCUUGCAAUAUCUAAAUGGUCUUCAACAUUUUCAAUUGAAAUACAAUCCCCGGGAUCUGGAAAUGAUGUCACUAAAUUGUCAUCAGAACUUAAGGUAUAUCCUCCAUAGGGCUAUAUUCUGUGUUUGCGGAAGUUUCUCGAUUUGCAAGACCUACUUCAUGGUGAGAACGGUUUGAAGUUAUAGAGAAAAUGAACCAGCGGUGCUUGGAGGCUUAAUCCUUAAGUCAUGUCCGCAGUCUGCAUCCAAUUUCCGGCCACUCAACUGCCUGUGCAUAUGAAACUCUGUUUGUUUAGUAGAGCUAAAAUCAGUUGAUGAUGGUGCAAAAUAACUGCCAGGUCUCGUAGAGCUUCUUAUACUGUUUAAAAUUGUCUCUUGAAAGAGACAGGUCAUCAUAAGAUAUAGUUGUGGCAGUAAAUGUCCUUGCCCGAACAAUAGGUCCUUUGUUGUUUCUGGACCUUUUCAACAAUACAGAAAUGCCGGUGGCUUCCAUGGGGUCCAUGUCCAUAUCUGGGAGAUCAUUGUAGUGAUCUAACAAUUGAUCCCCAAUUUCAUCAACUCCUGAUUGGUUCAUCUCUAGCCAGUUUGCAGGCUUAUGCUCACCUCCCUCCUUCAGUGAACUUGGAUUUGAACUGUGAUAAAUGCAUGUCUUCUGUACAAAAAGCAAACCAAAUUGUAAUGCAUGCCCAAUGAGAGCUGAAUGCCGACACUUUGCUAGUUCAUUUGCAAGGUAUCCAUGCAUUUCUUAAAAUUCUGAGGGGAAGACUAUGCGGCAUUAGGUGUUCCUACAACAUGUCUUCAUAGGCGCGUUGAGCGAUCCGGUUCCUUGAGUAAGAAGCUCUUGGCUGCAAGUACCGCUGCAUAUUCCAAAUCUCAUGCUCUUCUCUAACGGCAUAACGACAUUAAUGCUCCACAUCUCUUUCAAUGCCCUUGCUUCCAACGUUGUUGCAACCCUUAGAGCUGUGGCAGCUGCGGCGGUUAGAGUAUUGAUAUCACCAUGAGACCUCACAUUUGACAGCAAAACUAACAACAAAAGAAAGUGUUCUUUCUCAGUUCCCAAUGCUUCAGCAGUUGUGCAUAAAAUAUCGUCGACAUUGAAAGCUUCAAAGACUUUUUACUACAAAAGCUAAAGGUUCUUCAAGGCUAAAUUCAAACGACCCAUCACUUAAAACAAAAUGAACGUACAUCCUGGGAUAAUCAUGACACAACAAGCAAAAUGCGAGAACAUUCUCAAGAUCAGCAAGUUGAAGCUUCUUUCCAUUCUUAGUGAAGAAAGCGAGUGAAUGAAUCCAGAAAAAGAAUUUACAUUUCAAAGAAUUUAUGAAUUUUUGCAUACAUUGUAUUGUGUAAUUGAACCAAAAGCACUUAAAUUACAUAUCCAACAGAAACUCAAAAGAGUCAAACAAACACUUCACAAGACGAGUUGAGUGAGAAACUGGAUAAUGGAUGUUGUAAAUGUUCAAGAAGAAAAGCUUCACGAGCCAAUUACUUUCUUUGAUUUGCACUAGGUUCAGUUCCUGUUCAUUUUCCAGCCGGGAUAUUCUAGCAGGUGACUUCCAUAUUAGUAUUAAUGUAUCAAACACAAUACCAUUACUUUGUAACCAGCCAGUCAUUAAUUUGACUGGGUUUUAAUGAGUGUUGGACCUUGUUAAAGUA